rfam:Corchorus olitorius cultivar O-4 contig15682, whole genome shotgun sequence.
AUACCUUUCUCGGCCUUUUGGCUAAGAUCAAGUGUAGUAUCUGUUCUUAUCAGUUUAAUAUCUGAUACGUGGGCCAUUGGCCCACAUGAUAUUAAAUUUAUUUUUUUAGGGGGAGGGCCCACCACAGUAGCUUGCUACUGGGGCUCUCGCGCGUCGCCCAAGCGUUGCACUACAGCUCGGGCCUGGCGCACCCCAC